GUCUCUCCUCACACUCUCACUCACCCUGUCUCUCCUCACACUCUCACUCACCCUGUCUCUCCUCACACUCUCACUCACCCUGUCUCUCCUCACACUAUCUUCCACCCUGUUUCCCCUCACACUAUCUACCACCCUGUCUCUCCUCAAACUAUCUUCCACCUUGUCUCUCCUCACACUAUCUACCACCCUGUCUCUCCUCACACUAUCUUCCACCCUGUCUCUCCCCACACUAUCUUCACUCACCUGCAAUACAUUACCACUCCCUCCAUUGGUGAUAAAAUCCUGAAUAGACCAGUUUUAACUGUUUAUUUGCAGUUCAUGUCCGAUGGGUUGUACUGUUCCAGUUGAUGUUGCCUUCCAGCUGUUACAGCCAGGCUUGUUUGAGUUUGGCGAGUUCAUGAAAGUCAACCUGCGCUAUGCCCUGCCCGACUCACAGAGCACAUUGAAGCAUGAUUCAAUCGGGACCCCGGUAUCCACGGAAACCGUGUCCACCCUGUCGACAGAGGACGAUUUGGCAGCAUCGGCAGAAUUGUGGAGAGUUAGGAGUGGCAGCACAUCAUCACUACACACACCACUGUUACAUUCCGCAGACGAGAAACGGAAAUCUUUUGCAACAAAGUCAUACUCCUUUGGUGACCUAGGGCCGAAUAUUUCUACUGAGUCCGAGGAAGCCCAGAAAAUCAGGUUUAAAUCUAUCAGGCGGUCGACGGCCGUUCACCCACCCAAGUUAUCUAUUCCACGUCCCGUGUUAUCACAGACUGACAGAGACGUUACCAACCCGGCUAACUUCUUGAAGAAACCCUGCAGGAUCUACAUUCCAUAGUCUACCUAGUAACCAACUCAGCUAACUUCCUCAACAUCUACAUUCCACAAUCUUCCUAGUAACCAACUCAGCUAACUUCCUCAACAUCUACAUUCCACAAUCUACCUAGUAACCAACUCAGCUAACUUCCUCAACAUCUACAUUCCACAAUCUACCUAGUAACAAACCCGGCUGACUUCCUCAACAUCUCAACUGCUAUUAUUCUAUUAAAAUCUUGUUGUUACCAUAUAUUACCAGGUGAUGUAUACUAUAGGUGCACAAGCCUGGGAUGUGCGUAUACUAUAUACUAUAGGUGCACAAGCAUGGCCUGUGUAUACUAUAGGUGCACAAGUAUGGUCUGUGUGUAUACUAUAUACUAUAGGUGCACAAGCCUGGGCUGUGUGUAUACUAUAUACUAUAGGUGCACAAGCCUGGGCUGUGUGUAUACUAUAUACUAUAGGUGCACAAGCCUGGGCUGUGUGUAUACUAUAUACUAUAGGUGCACAAGCCUGGGCUGUGUGUAUACUAUAUACUAUAGGUGCACAAGCAUGGCCUGUGUAUACUAUAGGUGCACAAGUAUGGUCUGUGUGUAUACUAUAGGUGCACAAGUAUGGUCUGUGUGUAUACUAUAUACUAUAGGUGCACAAGUAUGGUCUGUGUAUACUAUAUACUAUAGGUGCACAAGCCUGGGCUGUGUGUAUACUAUAUACUAUAGGUGCACAAGCAUGGCCUGUGUGUAUACUAUAGGUGCACAAGCAUGGUCUGUGUGUAUACUAUAUACUAUAGGUGCACAAGCCUGGGAUGUGCGUAUACUAUAUACUAUAGGUACACAAGCAUGGCCUGUGUAUACUAUAGGUGCACAAGUAUGGUCUGUGUGUAUACUAUAUACUAUAGGUGCACAAGCCUGGGAUGUGCGUAUACUGUAGGUGCACAAGCAUGGCCUGUGUAUACUAUAGGUGCACAAGUAUGGUCUGUGUGUAUACUAUAUACUAUAGGUGCACAAGCCUGGGCUGUGUGUAUACUAUAUACUAUAGGUGCACAAGCAUGGCCUGUGUAUACUAUAGGUGCACAAGCAUGGCCUGUGUAUACUAUAGGUGCACAAGCAUGGUCUGUGUGUAUACUAUAUACUAUAGGUGCACACGCCUGGGCUGUGUGUAUACUAUAUACUAUAGGUGCAAAAGCCUGGGCUGUGUGUAUACUAUAUACUAUAGGUGCACAAGCCUGGGAUGUGCGUAUACUAUAGGUGCACAAGCAUGGCCUGUGUAUACUAUAGGUGCACAAGCAUGGCCUGUGUGUAUACUAUAUACUACAGGUGCACAAGCAUGGCCUGUGUGUAUACUAUAUAUUAUAGGUGCACAAGCAUGGCCUGUGUGUAUACUAUAUACUACAGGUGCACAAGCAUGGCCUGUGUUUAUACUAUAUACUAUAGGUGCACAAGCAUGGCCUGUGUAUACUAUAUACUACAGGUGCACAAGGAUAGCCUGUGUGUAUACUAUAUACUAUAGGUGCACAAGCAUGGCCUGUGUGUAUACUAUAUACUAUAGGUGCACAAGCAUGGCCUGUGUGUAUACUAUAUACUAUAGGUGCACAAGCAUGGCCUGUGUAUACUAUAUACUAUAGGUGCACAAGCAUGGCCUGUGUGUAUACUAUAUACUAUAGGUGCACAAGCCUGGUCUGUGUGUAUACUAUAGGUGCACAAGCCUGGGCUGUGUGUAUACUAUAUACUAUAGGUGCACAAGCCUGAUCUGUGUUUAUACUAUAUACUAUAGGUGCACAAGCAUGGCCUGUGUACUGAUUUACACUGAGGAAGUUCUUGAUGGACAUUGGUCUCUUUAUGUUGUAUUCUAUUUGACAAGAUAGCUGCUGUUGUGGGCAAAUGUCAGACAUACCAGAUAUAAGUGUUUGAAAUACAAGAUGCCGAAUGUUGAAAACAGAAAUGUUUAAAGCAAAACUCUAUGACUUAAAAAUAUGCUAUUAAAUAAAAUUGUUGUUGUGAUGAAAA
rnacentral:misc_RNA from 1 species